UACGUAGGGUGCGAGCGUUGUCCGGAAUUACUGGGCGUAAAGAGCUCGUAGGUGGUUUGUCGCGUUGUCCGUGAAAACUCACAGCUUAACUGUGGGCGUGCGGGCGAUACGGGCAGACUGGAGUACUGCAGGGGAGACUGGAAUUCCUGGUGUAGCGGUGGAAUGCGCAGAUAUCAGGAAGAACACCCGUGGCGAAGGCGGCUCUCUGGGACGGUACUGACGCUGAGACGCGAAAGCGUGGGGAGCGAACAGG
rnacentral:rRNA from 1 species